UUAUAUUUAUUACACUUAUCUAUCAUGUAUACUAUAGGAAAAUUCAAAGGGUCUGUAAGUCUCGUUGACUUUCACUUUCGUUUUAUAACUCCCGGGUACCUGAGCGUUCUUGGAGACAAUGGAUUACUUAAGUUGUAAGCAUCGCAGUGGAAUUAUUAAACUUGUAGUUUGUUUUGAUCCCCGAUUGUUGCAAAGAAGAGGAGAAAGUGGAUUGAUAGAUGCAGGGCUGCACAAGGUACUGAAAAAGGGACAGUGCUUUGAGUGAAUGUGUUAUCCAUGUAUCUGCAAAUGAAGCAGAUCCCCCAGUUAUUAUACUCAUGAUGAGUGUGACAACUUCCAACUUCCAAGUUGUUAAUGACGGAACUCCAUUUAAAUCAGAUGCUCCUUUCCAUCUGAUGUUUUCCAGGUUUUUGUGAAAAGUUUUCUUAAAAAUGGCACCAUUCAACCACAAAUACUAUGCCAGUGGAACUGUGAUAUCAAUCAACUGCUUAUGACACUGUUA